GUUUCUAUGUGUAGUCCUGGUUGUCUUGGAAUUUUCUGUGUAGAUGAGUCUGGCCUGGGGCUGGAGAGAUGGCUCAGCUGUUAAAGGCUAGGCUCACAACCAAAAAUAUA
rnacentral:miRNA from 1 species